CCUACACAUGCAAGUCGAACAAGGUAACCAAGAGAGCUUGCUCUCGGGUGACGAGCGGCGGACGGGUGAGUAAUGUCUGGGAAACUGCCUGAUGGAGGGGGAUAACUACUGGAAACGGUAGCUAAUACCGCAUAACGUCGCAAGACCAAAGAGGGGGACCUUCGGGCCUCUUGCCAUCAGAUGUGCCCAGAUGGGAUUAGCUAGUAGGUGGGGUAAUGGCUCACCUAGGCGACGAUCCCUAGCUGGUCUGAGAGAACGACCAGCCACACUGGGACUGAGACACGGCCCAGACUCCUACGGGAGGCAGCAGUGGGGAAUUUUGGACAAUGGGCGAAAGCCUGAUCCAGCAAUGCCGCGUGUGGGAAGAAGGCCUUCGGGUUGUAAACCACUUUUGUACGGAACGAAACGGUUCGCUUUAAUACAGUGGGCUAAUGACGGUACCGUAAGAAUAAGCACCGGCUAACUACGUGCCAGCAGCCGCGGUAAUGCGUAGGGUGCGAGCGUUAAUCGGAAUUACUGGGCGUAAAGCGUGCGCAGGCGGUUAUAUAAGACAGUUGUGAAAUCCCCGGGCUCAACCUGGGAAUUGCAUCUGUGACUGUAUAGCUAGAGUACGGUAGAGGGGGAUGGAAUUCCGCGUGUAGCAGUGAAAUGCGUAGAUAUGCGGAGGAACACCGAUGGCGAAGGCAAUCCCCUGGACCUGUACUGACGCUCAUGCACGAAAGCGUGGGGAGCAAGCAGGAUUAGAUACCCUGGUAGUCCACGCCCUAAACGAUGUCAACUGGUUGUUGGGUGCAUUAGUACUCAGUAACGAAGCUAACGCGUGAAGUUGACCGCCCGGGG
rnacentral:rRNA from 1 species